CACGAAUCAACGCCAUCUUUGCUUUGACAUACGUCGUGCGCUGAGAAUCGACGAAACGAAAACUCGAGCGCGAGUCUCGAACAGGAUUCCCAUAGUGCGUUACAUUCCAGGUUCAGAUACAUUGAUAUCUAUAACGAAUACUUGAGAUUGAUUAUGAGAGUGAAUAAAAAUACAUCAACGCAAUAUGUACAAUAAGAGAGGAAAUAAAGAGACAGGAUGAGGAUAGGUUUAAGAAAAACAGCUGCAAGAUACGACGAAGGAGUCAAUGAGGGAGAAUACAGUAUGUUGGUAAAGGAAUGUUGGCAGGAAGGAAAAGAAGAGGAAGAUAGAUGCCGAUGGACGAGAUGGGGAAAAGGAAA